rnacentral:misc_RNA from 1 species
GAUGAAGAACGCAGCAAAAUGCGAUAAGUAAUGCGAAUUGCAGAAUUUCCGUGAGUCAUCGAAUCUUUGAACGCACAUUGCGCCCACUGGUAUUCCGGUGGGCAUGCCUGUUCGAGCGUCAUUAUCCUCCCUCAAACCCCGGGUUUGGUGUUGGACCCAAGUUGUGUGAACAACUGGUCUCAAAGACAAUGACGGCGUCCGUGGGACCCUCGGUGCAACGAGCUUUUAGGAGCACGCGCCGAGUUGCAAGGACCUUCCGGGCCGGUCUCCUUUACUAUUUUACAAGGUUGACCUCGGAUCAGGUAGGAAUACCCGCUGAACUUAAGCAUAUCAAUAAGCGGAGGA